rnacentral:rRNA from 1 species
AGGCGUCGACGGGUAGCCGGCCUGAGAGGGUGACCGGCCACACUGGGACUGAGACACGGCCCAGACACCUACGGGAGGCAGCAGUGGGGAAUAUUGCACAAUGGGCGGAAGCCUGAUGCAGCAACGCCGCGUGAGGGAUGACGGCCUUCGGGUUGUAAACCUCUUUUAGCAGGGAAGAAGCGAGAGUGACGGUACCUGCAGAAAAAGCGCCGGCUAACUACGUGCCAGCAGCCGCGGUAAUACGUAGGGCGCAAGCGUUAUCCGGAAUUAUUGGGCGUAAAGAGCUCGUAGGCGGUUUGUCGCGUCUGCUGUGAAAUCCCGAGGCUCAACCUCGGGCCUGCAGUGGGUACGGGCAGACUAGAGUGCGGUAGGGGAGAUUGGAAUUCCUGGUGUAGCGGUGGAAUGCGCAGAUAUCAGGAGGAACACCGAUGGCGAAGGCAGAUCUCUGGGCCGUAACUGACGCUGAGGAGCGAAAGGGUGGGGAGCAAACAGGCUUAGAUACCCUGGUAGUCCACCCCGUAAACGUUGGGAACUAGUUGUGGGGACCAUUCCACGGUUUCCGUGACGCAGCUAACGCAUUAAGUUCCCCGCCUGGGGGAGUACGG